AUUGAACGCUGGCGGCAUGCCUUACACAUGCAAGUCGAACGGUAACAGGUCUUCGGAUGCUGACGAGUGGCGAACGGGUGAGUAAUACAUCGGAACGUGCCUAGUAGUGGGGGAUAACUACUCGAAAGAGUGGCUAAUACCGCAUGAGAUCUACGGAUGAAAGCAGGGGAUCGCAAGACCUUGCGCUACUAGAGCGGCCGAUGGCAGAUUAGGUAGUUGGUGUGAUAAAAGCUUACCAAGCCGACGAUCUGUAGCUGGUCUGAGAGGACGAUCAGCCACACUGGGACUGAGACACGGCCCAGACUCCUACGGGAGGCAGCAGUGGGGAAUUUUGGACAAUGGGCGAAAGCCUGAUCCAGCAAUGCCGCGUGCAGGAUGAAGGCCUUCGGGUUGUAAACUGCUUUUGUACGGAACGAAAAGCCCCGGGUUAAUACCCUGGGGUCAUGACGGUGCCGUAAGGAUAAGCACCGGCUAACUACGUGCCAGCCGCCGCGGUAA
rnacentral:rRNA from 1 species